rnacentral:rRNA from 1 species
AGCAGCCGCGGUAAUUCCAGCUCCAAUAGCGUAUAUUAAAGUUGUUGCAGUUAAAAAGCUCGUAGUUGAAUUUCGGGGUCAGUAGGUUGGUCAUGCCACAGGUAUGUACUGAUCUUACUGAUUCCUCCUUCCUGAUGAACCGUAAUGCCAUUAAUUUGGUGUUGCGGGGAAACUGGACUGUUACUUUGAAAAAAUUAGAGUGUUUAAAGCAGGCUAACGCUUGAAUACAUUAGCAUGGAAUAAUGAAAUAGGACGUUCGAUCCUAUUUUGUUGGUUUCUAGGAUUGACGUAAUGAUUAAUAGGGAUAGUUGGGGGCAUUAGUAUUCAAUUGUCAGAGGUGAAAUUCUUGGAUUUAUUGAAGACUAACUACUGCGAAAGCAUUUGCCAAGGAUGUUUUCAUUAAUCAAGAACGAAAGUUAGGGGAUCGAAGACGAUCAGAUACCGUCGUAGUCUUAGCCAUAAACUAUGCCGACUAGGGAUCGGAUGAUGUUAAUUUUUUAAUGA